UUCGGCCAGGAUGCCACCGCUUCGGUG
rnacentral:misc_RNA from 1 species